UGAGAGGGUUUGGCAACGGAUUUGAAGUAAAGAAUGAAGACAAAUGGGUGUGAGUUGAAAUUUGAAUAUGGAAGCAGUUAGGUGAUGUCGACACCAACUAGGAUGAAUUUGAGAAGUUCUGUUGUUGAGGAGAGAUGAGAUGAUGAUUAAAUGGGGGUAGAUUCAUGGCUGCAAACUGAGAAUUAGAAGAUAAGAAAGUUGGGGUUUAGGUUGUUUUUCGAGUGUUUGGAGUAUUGAGGUCGAAUCCAAAAGAACAAGAAAUUAGGGUUCCUUUCUUAUGUUCUUCCCCAAAUUCAUUCUACUACCUUUUGAUUUGAAGCUGAAAAAAAAGAAAGAGUAGGUGUUGUCGUUCAAAUUGCAGGUGAACUUAAGCUGCAACUGGUGGUGAGCUGCUGCUGUAAGUCGUGAAGCAGAUGAAGAAGGAAUUUGAUCUCAGAUGAAUGGUGCUGCUUUGAGGUUUACAUGGGUUUGCUGAGAUGGUAUGGAUUGGUUUGAAGUCUGAGAAAUUAGAGAUUAGGAAAGAAGGAGAGGAUACACAGAGAAGUAGGAAUUGGUGCAGAUGGUGUUCUUGCUGGUGACUGGAAUUGGAACUCAGAUGUUGUUGUUGCUGGUGCUCAUUGCAAAUUGAGAAGUGCGGGAUGGGAGCUUUCGCUGCGAGGGAGAGUGCGCUGCAACUGUUGAUUGAAGCUAAGAAAGAAACACAGAAGUGAUGCUGUUAUGGCAGAGCUGAAGAACAUUGAACUGAAGUACUGAGAAGGAAGAAUCUGCAAGUGUUGCAGCUGUGCAGGGAGAAUGGCAACAGGGAAAUGGUAGUGUUGAUGUUGCAGUUGAAACUGGGGAGCUGGUGCUGUGUCCCAUUGAUCAAAUACAUAGAGGGUAUGAACUGAAGUAGAUGUAUGUUAAGCUGUGCAACUGAGCUGGGUAUUUCAUGUGGUGAUUAUAAGGGUUUACAUCAUGUGUGAUGUUGGUGGAUUGAGAAUGAAGAAUGAGUUACAAUGAGUUAGAAGAGAAAUUGAUGCUAAGCAGACAAGAAAAUGGGUUAGGCUGUUGUGGGUAACCUGUAUUGGAGAAAGCUGCAAUUGAAGUUGUGUACUGGUAUUGAGUGAUACAAUGGUGGUCAUGGACUUCAAAAUAAGAAGUGGAGAAUGGUUGAUGUUGUUAGUCUCAAAUUCCAGGUGAUGGUGGUUAUAACUGAUGGUACUGGAGGAUGGAAGAGAGAGCUGCAGAGACCGUAAAUAGGGGCAAUAGCUGGUGUUAUGCGCAGUGCAGGCCAUAGCUGGAAUCGGAACUGCAGAAUAUUAGCCCGAUGUGUGAAGAAGCUGAGUGUUGCAGGGAGCUUGAACUGAGUUGUGGAUAUGCUGGUGUCAGUUGGCUGAACUGGAGGUGCUGCGAGCCAUGGAUCGAUGGUGUUGUUAUUGAAUUGGUGGUGCCUGCAGCUGAGUACAGGGAAAGAACAAGCUUCAGUGAAGGAAUUGAAUGAAUGGGAAUGUUAGAUGAAUGUGUAGGAAACAUUGCAGAGGAGGACUCGAUGGGAAAGGCCUGGAUUUGGCCUGGGAUCGGUCAGAUACAGGGGGAACUCGGUAAGAGUUCCGUUUCAGAGAGUUGACGCAGAUGAUCCAGUAGCUGACUCAUGUGGACUUAGGGUGGGCUUCUACAGUAACUGAUGAGGGCCCAUGCGGCUGUUGGGCUCUACUUCACGGCCAGGCUUGGCUAGUUUUGGCAACAAAUUGGCAGGGGAUGGAAUUUGACUACUGGGACACCUAUAAAAGAGAAAAGUUUUCUCAUUAUUAUAUUAUCUUCUCUUCUAUCUUUGCCUAGGGUUUAGAAACAUGAUAGGUUUUCUUUUCCUUUUUGUUAUGAAUUUCACUCACAUGUUUAAAUAAUUCUCUUUUGGUUAAGGAAUAAGUUGGAGUUCCAACCAUGAUAUUUAUG